rnacentral:lncRNA from 1 species
AAAAUUAACAUGACAUCUUGGAUCUUAUAAGAGUCAAGCUCUUCAGGAAAUAAACCAUGAGUUUCUUUCACAGUUUA